rnacentral:ribozyme from 1 species
UAUAUAAUUUUUUUUUUUUUUUUUUUUUUUUUUCUCCUUUUGUGUCCA